UACGUAGGGUGCAAGCGUUAAUCGGAAUUACUGGGCGUAAAGCGUGCGCAGGCGGUUGUGCAAGACAGAUGUGAAAUCCCCGGGCUUAACCUGGGAACUGCAUUUGUGACUGUACGGCUGGAGUGCGGCAGAGGGGGAUGGAAUUCCGCGUGUAGCAGUGAAAUGCGUAGAUAUGCGGAGGAACACCGAUGGCGAAGGCAAUCCCCUGGACCUGUACUGACGCUCAUGCACGAAAGCGUGGGGAGCAAACAGG
rnacentral:rRNA from 1 species